rnacentral:rRNA from 1 species
UACGGAGGGUGCAAGCGUUAUCCGGAUUCACUGGGUUUAAAGGGUGCGUAGGAGGGCAGGUAAGUCAGUGGUGAAAUCCCCGAGCUUAACUUGGGACUGCCGUUGAUACUAUCUGUCUUGAAUAUCGUGGAGGUGAGCGGAAUAUGUCAUGUAGCGGUGAAAUGCUUAGAUAUGACAUAGAACACCAAUUGCGAAGGCAGCUCGCUACACGAAUAUUGACUCUGAGGCACGAAAGCGUGGGGAUCAAACAGG